rnacentral:misc_RNA from 1 species
UUGCCAAUGAAAGUGCUUGCUAAAUGUAGAAAUAAAGAAGCGUGCCUUUCUAGAGCCUUGCGUACACAUAGGCACGUAAGGCAAGUGCUUGGUGAAUGUUGCUUGCCUUUCUCCUGUAUGGGCGCUAGGAUUGGAGCCUGGUUAGCCUUGAACCUGAGGCUUGCAUGAGGCACGCCUUUAAUAAUUAUGCUUUUGGGUUGUUUUGAAGAUUCCUUGGACGAGAUAUGGCAUUGGAUUGAUGUAUCUUGUACAGAUUCUAGAUAAUCCUGAUCAUUAGCCAGGAUGUGGUGCUGACGGUGAUGUGAUGAUUAUGACUUUUUACUUUAAAAAGCUUGAUUGUAAAAUACAGCCUCUAGUAAAGGCAUGCUAAUUAAUUUGAAUGGGAAAAUUAUAUCAAUUAGGAAAUGAAUUAAUUCAGAGAAGAAUAAGAAUCAUUCAAUGUAUAAUACAUAAAGUACGAUAUGUACAACUUGAAAGAUUCACAGGAUUGUGAAUGCAUUUUCAUUUGUUUUGUUCUUUUUCCAUCUUUUUAAAAAAAAAAAAGCCAAUAUUGCGGAUUAAGGUCCCUGUACAACUUGGAAGAUUCAGAGAAUUGUGACUGGAUUUUCAAUUGUUUAGUUCUUUUCCAUCUUUAAAAAAAUGCCAAUAUUGUCAUAGCCGUGUGUGAUUUGAAAACUUUGAUUGGUUUUAUAAGUAGAUUGAGUUAGAAAAUUUUGAUAGUGAAGGCUGCUUUCAGGGGCAGUCCAGGAUAGGUGUUUAAUUACAUCAAAUUUUUAGAAGCAACUCAUGAAUUCUUGUUGUAUGUGUUUUUAGGUUUGCUGGAAAUGGCAAAAGG